UCACUUGUUCUUUAAAUAAGGACUAGUAUCAACGGCAUCACGAGGGUUUUACUGUCUCCUCCCCCCGAUCAAUGAAACUGAUCUCUCCGUGAAGAAGCGGAGAUUUAACUAUAAGACGAGAAGACCCCAUGGAGCUUCAAACCUACUACACCCCCAGUCCAAAUACCCAUACACUAAUAGGGCCCUGUAUGUAAUGGUUUUAGGUUGGGGUGACCGCGGAGCACAAAUCAACCUCCACGAUGAACAGGACUAACCCUUUAUCUAAGAAUCACCACUCUAAGAAUUAGUAUACUAACAUCAAAUGAUCCGAUAUUCGAUCAACGAACCAAGUUACCCUGGGGAUAACAGCGCAAUCCACUUCAAGAGCCCCUAUCGACAAGUGGGUUUACGACCUCGAUGUUGGAUCAGGGUAUCCUAGUGGUGCAGCAGCUACUAAAGGUUCGUUUGUUCAACGAUUAAAACCCU
rnacentral:rRNA from 1 species